rnacentral:lncRNA from 1 species
UUGAGACUCUUGUUUCUCAAGUUCAGUUCUUUUUAAAGCUACUCAGAAAACAAUUCCCAAGGGGAAAUCAGCUCUUGAUAGACCCUCAAGGAUUAAAGUAGCAUAGACCAACCUUCAGACCUACUGCAUUUUUGUCAUUUCUGGCUCUUGCCUAUGUUUAUAUUCCUCUUUUAGAUUCCCUUUUCAUUGGUACUGUGGUGUCUUGUGGAUCAAAUGACAGCAAGAGUAUAGGUUCUAUUCUUUCACUAUGAAGGCCUUUGAAGAAGGAAUCCUGGGGAGUAAGAGUUGGUCAGUUUCCUUAUUGCCGUCUACCUUUCUGCAUAAGGCUUUCAAUUACACAGAAAACUCAAGGAAGAGCUUAGGACACUAUUCACAUUUUCCCAAGUUGAUGGGACAGGCAGACGAAUGAUAGUAAAGUCCUUGGACAUUGCCACAUUCAUUGCCAAGGUUUUCUAAACUAGAAGGGGCUUCUCCAACAUCUCCAAGGAUUCUUCCCAUAAAGCACUGGUAAUAUGUCUCAGGAUGCAGUACGCCUGUCAUCACCAUCUGUGAAGAGGAGACUCAAAAUGCUGACCGAAGCAAUUAUCCAGACUUGUCAUCUCUCUCCAGCAUUGGCACAAUCCCUGAAUAAGCUGCUUUCAAUCAGCUACUGUGCAGCCCUAAAGACAUGUUACAGAGGCAAUGGGAGUUUCUUCCUGCAGUAAAAACAGUAGUCUCUUGAUCGGAGAAAAAUACAAGAAAUUACAUGAACAGUCUGGAUACAUCUCUCAGAAGUUUGUAUAAACAUAUUUACAAUUAUUUGAGGACCAGAAUUGUGGUACUUCUGAAUAGAUGUGGAUGUGAAUAGAAACAGUUAUAAUCCAAAGCCAGUACAUGAGGUCAUGGCAUUAUGGGUGGCGGUUGAGGGGCUGUGUUAGAGUCAUUGCCCACUACUGAUGGUGCAGAAGUAUGAAUGGUUUGUAGAUUUGGCUUUAGGAUCAUCUUUUCCUGAAGAUCUGCUUAGGGAGAUGAGAUAUGAGGAUUCUAUAAAAUUGGCCUCUGGGGAAGCUCUUUCAGCUCAAAAAAUUAUGAAUAUCUUUACAACACUCAGAAGCCGUUCUGCAUACACAAUAAUUCGCGGGAAAUAUGGAGCCAGCCACAUAUAGCAGAGAUCCUUAGGAGAAUGUCUUUACUUGGAAGGAGACUAAAAUAACAGCACCAGCUUACACCAGUGAUGACCAUUUAUAAUGCGAAGGAGAGUCCUUGGAGAUGCAGAAAUGAAAGCCAUCAGUACAUGCUGCUCCCUUGUAGCCUUCCUGACAAAUGAUUGCUAAUAGUAAUAAGGGAAAAAAGAGACCAGCCUCUGCUGGGGGCGCCAAAAUGGCUUGGGAAUCCAUGGGGGCGGGGGGUGUUUGUUAAGUAUUAUCCCCUUUGCCAAGACUACCCUUGCGACAUGGUGAAAAAUUAGGCGAUAGAUCAGGUCAUGGGUACCAACUUUUCACUCUGGGCACCCUUGGGGAAGACAUCCAGGGGUGAGACUAAUUCAUUAAUCUCCUUUCAGCUUUCCACCAUUACUCACAGGCUUUACAGAGAAUGCUCUGGUUUUUUUUUUUUUUUUUUUUUUUUUUUUUUUUUUCUGGAAACAGUGGAGCUCUAUUUACAUCAGAAGGGACAUCAAGUACCACAACAAUCACUAAAAAUGAAAUCCUACAGCUCAGCCUGCCAACCAGCAUGGAAAGUGUACAGCUGUAAGUGAGCUUCACAAGGCAAGUCACGCACAAGGGAGGGAAGACAGCAAGAAGCCAAAAUAGCUUAUGGAUAGCAUGAGAAAGGGGGCCGACUGAGAACGGCAGGCGACAAAACCUAAAAAGACUCACAAAAGAGAAAUCUCUGGCUUAGCUCUCUAGAAGCAGACAGACAGAAAGAAGAGGAAGAGAGAGGCCACACUGGGUGUGCAAGGGCAGUGUCUUACCCAGAGGUAAGAUCUGCCGAGGGCCUGCACCUGCAAAGGCAGGGUCACAGCUAUUUGAACCCAGGGUGUAAAGGUCCCCUGGGUUACAUAUCAAACUUGAUAGCUGUAUUUGUGACUCUCACUGUCAUCUGUGUCGUGGUUAAUAUAACAGGCAAGAAGCUAAAGAGUUGCAUAGACAUCUUAAAUAUUAAAGCUAUACAAACACCACUCUCAACACAAGAUCACAACCAUAAACAUUUCAGAAAAGGUUAUCUAAAUGCUCUGUGUAUUGUUAUUUUCAUAUACGCUGACACCUCCAUGUAGGCAAUAAAAAAUGGGAAAACGCAUUUAAACCAUGAUUAGUGUCUGCCCUUCUCUGCUAUUCUAUUAGCUUGUGUGGCCUCUAUCCUCAUAUAUCUGAGAGACUGAACACUUCAAAACAGUGCAAGUAUGAAGGAUAUGAUGGUGUGUUUAUAGGCUGCACACACACAGACCCUCUUUUUAAAAAAUCUGAGCCCAUCCAAACCUUGUGGGAAUUCUUGCUUCUCAAAAGAUCUUACAGUACUUAAUCUCUAUUCAUGUGAAACAAGAAACGGUGUCCUUCUCAUUUUAUUCCGAAGCCAUCUUUAAUGCCAAAUGGAUAUGGGGGAAGUUGACAUUUACUCAGAAUUAUUAUUCAAUCAAAGUUCUAUUUUCUUCUUAUGAUGAUUUCAUUUGUCAGAGCAGUUUUAAUGCAAAGCUUGUGAUCAGGUUUUUUUUUUUCUCUUAAACAAUUGGCGCUACCAUCUGUGUCACCUGAGGCUCCUUUUUGUUGAUUAUUUUGCAUGUAAUAUGACACGACGAAAACAUAAAUAACUUGAGCUUUGUUUUGCAGGCAGAGAACACUUCAGACACUUGCGUGGUGCCAGAAUACCGAUUCCGGAGAAGCUGAGGCAACAUAAUAUUCUUCCCAGAAAAACAUGCCACUUUUUUUUUUCAUCCUCUCUUUAAAAUUCUUUGUUUAGUUUGAUUAGAGUUCCACAUCAGAGGCAUUUUCUAGGGCAUGGGACCUGCCUGCUUGGGAACUCCCCACUGUGCUUAUGUAAGCCCUGUUCACCCAGUCUGAGCUGCUGGAGCUCAGAACAACUCUAGGGCAUUUUUGUUUUCUGUUUUAUAUCUCGUUUGUUCUUUCCCUUUGUUCUCGUUCAUUCAGAGGAAGGUGUGUGCUAAUGCCAACUUGUUAGAAGUGUACCCAGCAGGAGAAGGAAAUGAGCUGUUUGGAUUCUUUAAAAUAGUUCUUGCUUAUUUGCCCAGGGCUUUAGAUUACAAUUAGAUGGUAGUCUUUCCAUCGACAUAAGGGGCUCACUCCUCAAAGAGCUUAGGUCAGAGAUUUCAGUUGCUCAGUGAACACCAAUAGACUUUGAUGGUUUGCCCCAACUCUCUGGUAAUUAGCUCAUACCCCACCUCCCCUGCCUGGUAAAAAUGUUUCUUGUCUCUUCUUUCUACAACAGGGCUAUCUUCAAAAAAAAAAAUAGAUACGUUGGAGAUUGACUGACUCUGAAAUUUUGUUUGGAAAAUGCUGGAUUCUGGCAUGAGUUGUAUUUCCUAUCUUGCUUCUCUCUACUCUCUGGCCUUGCCUCUUGGAAUAGGUUAAAAGCAAAAGGAAGUGCUGAGCUAAAUUUAUAAUCUGGGAGUACUUUUUAAAGUUAAAUUUUAGAAUAUAGCAUAAGAAAAGGAGCGAAAAUAAAUGAACAUCCUUGCAAAGCAUUUGAAGAGCUAGUAUUUUGGACCGAAGCUCAUGUUUAGCUUAUUGUCCAAUGCAACUUCCAGGUUUAGCCGCUUUUGAUUGAUGCCUUUUGUUUUUACAUGUUUGUGCUCUCUCUGGAACACAAAGAUAGUCUUCCAAGACACUGGAAAGCAUUUCAUGGUGAUAGGAAGGGAACUCCUAUAACAUCUUCUUGUGCCAGAUAAACCAUCCUGAGCCAUUUAUUCUCCUACUUCAAACAUUUUCCCUUCAUAUCCAGAAAAGAGCCCAAUUUUAAGUAGCAGGACUUAGAACAAAGAACCAAUGGAGACAGGGAUUAUGAUUUUCCACAGUUAUUACUCAGAAAGGUUAAGUAUGUUUUACUCAAUUAAGCACAGAUGAGCCCCUGUGCACCACUGGUUUGUAAUAGCCCUAAUUGAUUCUGAGGCGAGAUCUCUGGUCAGAGUCAAGCCAGAUGUAAGCUUUGUUAGUGAUGUUGAUGGAAUGACCCCAGGAAGCUUCAUUUUUAUGGCUUUGAUAUAAAAAAAAAGUCCAAGGAGCUUGCCCAGGCUUCUCUGCUUCCUUAAUUAUAUUUUUGAUAAUUUAUUUUACCAAUUGACUUCUAGCCAGGCCAGGUUAUGUUUGAUCUUGAUGAGGCUGCAGAUUUGCAGGAGAGGAGGAAAUGUCCUUGCUCAUUAUCUUCUAGUCUGGCUUUAUCAGAUCUGUUUUCUGGAAACUGUAUGCAAAUUCUGGUUCUCAGAGGUUUUCUCUAAAAAAAUCACUCCUUCCUUUCUCUCCCUUCUUUUGAAUCAUUUCAUUAGCAU